rnacentral:rRNA from 1 species
CCUACGGGUGGCAGCAGUGAGGAAUAUUGGUCAAUGGGCGCGAGCCUGAACCAGCCAAGUCGCGUGAGGGAAGACGGUCCUAUGGAUUGUAAACCUCUUUUGUCGGGGAGCAAAAGACGCCACGCGUGGCGUUCCGAGAGUACCCGAAGAAAAAGCAUCGGCUAACUCCGUGCCAGCAGCCGAGGUAAUACGGGGGAUGCGAGCGUUAUCCGGAUUUAGUGGGGUUAAAGGGUGCGCGGGGGGAAGAUCAAUUCAGCGGUAAAAUUGAGAGGCUCAACCUCAACGAGCCGUUGAAACUGGUAGGCUUGAGUGAGUGAGAGGUAGGCGGAAUGCGUGGUGUAGCGGUGAAAUGCAUAGAGAUCUCGCAGAACUCCGAUGGCGAAGGCAGCAUACCGGCGCUCAACUGACGCUCAUGCACGAAAGUGUGGGUAGCGAACAGGAUUAGAUACCCGAGUAGUC